UGCGCCUCGGAGACUUUGAGCCCGACCCGGACGCCGUGUCCGUGGGCUUCUUCUUCCCCGCCGACGCAUCCCUCUUUGGCGGCGGCGGCUUGGAUCCUACCAUGAUCGGCAGGCUCUGAUACCACUUGUAGACUUUCUUCUCUCUCGAUCACACACACGAACUAGCGCACGAACAGAGAGGAGACAAAGACAGGUGCUUGUUGCUGUGUAAUGCCUACAGCUUUUCUGUUCUCUUCUUCCUUUUAUUCAGCAAGACAACGAUCGUGCUAGCUCACACGUUGCCCAUGAUGAUCGUGCCAUCCCACGACCGAGCACACGAGCUCACAAAGCAAGGAUCGGAUCAGAAACAACGACCAAAUCCUAACUUAUCUGUUCCUAGCAAAUAGCUGACGGAACAACUAACUAAACUAUCUGACCAAGCUAAAACUAACUGACGAAACUGACGAAAAACAGAAAUUGACACUUAUUACUGACACACUAGAUUAACUAACACCGUGAUACUCAGCUUCUCAGAGAAGCUCAGCGACACCCCUUGCUGACGGUUUGAUCUUUCACUUUGUUGCUUUUCUACCGUCCAAUCUCACUGUUUGACGAAAACUUUUGUCACACCGCUGGUUAGUUUGGUAGAAUAGGUGCCAUUGAAUGUUACUCCCAGUUGCCUAUCAUGUAGGAAUUUUGAGGUAUUAUUUUGUGCUAUUGAUGAUAAUCCACUGUAUUAUAAUUAAUCUGUGUUGUAGAAGCUUUAGCUGAUCUGGUUUUGUAUCUUUCGAAAUAGAUUUGACGAGGUUGCAGUUUCAGGUACUCAUAGCAUCUACAGAGUGGGCCAAUAUUCGAAAAGAGCACAAGACUUGAGGAUUUGAGCAUGCUUGUAGGCUAGAAGCAUCACCUUCAGACUUCGUCACUUGUUGACAGUCUAAAAUUGACCCUGAACUGAUAUGGGCACUUGCUAAGCAAGAUGUCAAAGACAAGCACCAGUUGAAGAUGAAAUAGAAAAUACAGCCGGUAAAGGCACCAACGAAGGAAAACCUUCAGGCGUCAAACAUGAUGGAAGGAUGUUGGAUGGUCAGCUUCUUCUUACUCAUUUCCCUGUGGGUGGCGGCGGUAGUGACGACUUGGUUGGAGGGGAUGCGGUAGGAGGAGGGCGCAAAGGGGCGGGAGGGGUGGCCGCCGGGGAGGCGGAGCUGUGCCGGCCACCGCAAGUGAGGAAGAGGAUGGAGCUUGGUGCAGCAGAAGGGGAGAGCCUCAAGGGGUUGGAGCGACGACUACUCCGCCCUCGCCAGCUUCCGCCGCCGCUCCUCCCUUGCGCAGCCGCCACCGUCCACGGGUUCGGGCGCCGUCUCGGAAAUUGAGGAGCCGGUCGGCCCGCUCAGGGGCGUGGCCAUCGAUGUCCAGCGUGCUGCUCGACGGCCGUUUCUGCAACGUCUGAGGAAGAAGAGAAGGAGGAUAUCAAGCAGGGGAUGUUGGGCUCUAAUGGUUGGAGGUAGCCAUGACUGCCAGUGGUAGCCAGAGAGGUCGUUUGGCUGCUUUGUAUAUGGCACAAGGAGGAAGGGAGCUGGAGAUGACGAUGGAACCAAACAAUCCUACAUCAACAACAGAACCAAACAAUCCUACAUCAACAACAGGUGCUCCCGAGCGAUGGCGGCGGCGGCAGGGAGCGCGCGCCUGAGCGAGGAGGGGGUUUGAAGUGUCCGUGCCAGCAACCUCACCGUCUCCAACCUAUCUGCAGAAGAGUGUGGAUUUUGUACACCCACGCAUGGGUGGUCUGGACCGGGAGGCCUGAGAGCUCCACUUCACCAGGCGUGGCCUAGCGCCAUCUGCCCCGAAAUUACUCCGACAUUUGACGCCGGGAAGAGAUCCCGCGACGUUUGACGCCGGGAAGCAGCUUCUCGCGCGCAAAGGGAGGCGGCUCGCCGGCUCGGGCGAGAAGGUACUGGGGAGGUGGCUCGCGCGAGAAGGGACUAGGGACGCGGUCUGCAUCCGGAAGAGAAGCAGGGGGCGGAGGUAGGAAGGGAGGUGACGACCUGGAGCCUGGUUUGUUCUUCGCAUUUAUUUUUCGAUCGGAUUUGGUUUCUUUUACGAUCUAGACUUGCUUCCACUUUUGCUGCUGUUCCUGGUACUUUGGUCAUGUAUCUGGAGGGAAUCUGUUGUUCGCGAUGUGUUCCGGUUCGACCCAGAUCCAGUAGUUGUUGUUCAGCUUUCAUCUUCAUGUUCCAUGCAUCACAUGCACACUAAUUUUUUCUUCCAUUUACUGAGAAAAACUACUUGAGUACUAUGUUUUUCUUUCAUGUAGCAUGCGUUUGCAGUCGCAUGUACAAGUUGACCAUCUUUUCCCUGUGGAAUUUCUGAUGUUGCACAUUUGUUUGUAUAUGCAUAUUUUUGGGGCAAAUCCGAAUGUGGUUUCUCAUGUUUUCCAGAUUCAUUAAUUUUGGAUUCAAAUGUGCAAUAUUCUAUACCUCUUAUCUUCUCUCUUUCACCUAGGAUUUGUAGCAUAUGGUUUUUGUAUCAGAUUAUUUCCAUGACGUGAGUCCCGAAUUGUUUCCAGGUUGAUGGUAUAAUUCUUGCAUAUUUGUUUCCAUGUUGAUUGAUUAGUUCACAAAAAAAAGGCGCACAGGUCUUCAAUGUAGAAUAUAAAAUUGGGCAGCGGCAUCUAGCAAUCUAUUCUGUGAAUGCUUUAUAUUCUAUCAAUGCAAAGAACACUAGCAAUCUAUUCUGUCUAUGCAAAGAACACUAUCAAUCUAUUCUAUCUAUGAAAAGAACACUAGCAAUCUAUUCUGUCAAUGCAAAGAACACUAGCAAUCUAUUAUGUCCAUGCAAAGAACACUAGCAAUCUGUCAAUGCAAAGAAAACUAGCAAUCAGUUUUCCAUUUUCUGUCUCUGUAGCUCAACUUGCUACACUGGUUCCACUUAGAAAAAGUAAAUAGGCAAAAAAAACAGUACGAAUCUCUUAUGUAAUUGCUAAUUUUCUCAGUCUAGCAACCAUCCAAAAAAAUAAGACGUUGGGAUACAUCUCUUCUGUCUACCUGUCUAUGCUAAUUUUCUGACUUUAGAUCGGACAUGGGGAUUCAGGUUACGUGAAACCCAGCGUUGGAUACGAUGGCCAUGGCGAUGCUGAAGAAGCAUACCCUGCCGAUGGGGAGGAGAACGAAGGGAUCGUGAUCUUUGUACAUGACGAGGUUGUUGCCAGCCAUGUCGUCGAGGAGGAGCAUGUGGCGGAGAACAUGGGCGCCGGUGGCGUCGAGCUUGCAGCUGUGAUUGUACAGCUUGAGGACGGCAACUCUUCUUCAUAUGCUGGGUACCAAGCGUCGACGAGGUGCUUAGCCACCGUCAACGUUUUGGCGACGAAGGCGUUUGGAGCAUCAUGCUGCGACGCGUCUGGGCUCGGCUCCUUUGAUUCUUAUUUGGUCGUCACGCACGAGUUUAUCGUCAGUUAGUGUUUUGAUUGCCAGUUAGUGAUGCCUUCCUCUCGUUCAGUACCAAGUUAUCAAAGUAGUUCAGGUGUUUAUUUUGGGAUCCUUGUUAGCCAAUGACAUUUAAGGAAGGAAAUCAUUCUUGUACUGGAUACUUGUGAUGUGUAAUAUCAUCCAUGUCUUAGAUGUGUUUAUCAAUGAUAUGCCUUGUCGGGAGAGAGGAAAAGCAGCAGCGGGGUGGCUUUUGCCCCUGUACAUGGGACCUACUACCUUUCCAGAAAAUGGAGGAAAUAGAUGAAAAUGGCUUCUCUCA